rnacentral:misc_RNA from 1 species
GCUCUCCCUCGCUGUCUUCGGCUUGCACCCCCGCGUUCCCCUCGCCAGCGUCACUGCGCGAUCUCGACUCCCCUGCCGUGUGUCCCCGUGUGUGCCUCCGCUGUGCCUCUCUCAGCGUUCCGCCGUGGGCCCUCGAAGAUGGCGUGCAAGCUCGGCGUCAUUAUCUACGUCGUCCUCCAGUUCAUCGCGUUCUUCUCCGUGCUGAUCGGUACGGGGGUCGACAUGUUUUACAUCAAGCCGGAGCACAGCUUCGGCGCCAGGUUAUGCAUAACCCUGUGGGGUGGAAAGACUGACUGUCGAAAAGCCAACGUAACCAUCUCCUCGGGCGUACGGUGGAAGUUCUGCCCCAUCCGCCGCAACAACUUCCGCAUUGGUCAGGCGUUCGCCAUCAUCUCCAUCUUCGUGUACGGCGCGGCGUUCCUCUUCGGCUUCCUUUUGCUGUACUGCUGCGCUGGCUUCCGCUGGCUCUGCCUGGCGCUGAACAUCGUGGGCGCUGUCACCGCUUGCGUUGUCUGGGCGGUCAUGGUGGUCACCUACAGACUCCCAGAGCCCAAGUGCCUGGAGCUGAGUGACAACUACAAUUUCGGCACCGGCUUCGGUCUCUUCGUGCUUGCCUGGAUCCUGGAUAUCAUCGACAUUAUCUUCCUGAUGCUCCCGUGGCAAAUCGGAGAGUCCGGUAAGGGUGACGAACCGGAUGGGCAGGAGGAGGAGGAGGAGGUGGGGUCUAAAAAAGCAACGGAGGAGUAGGAGGGAGAGUGCCGCAGGAAGUGACGGGCAAACGUGGCGGCAGCGCGGCAGCUCCACGGCGACGUCCUCGUGGAGGAGCCGGCGGAGCUGAUGCCGGCGGGAAAGACGGAGGGAGCGGAGGCUGCGGACGCUCGCCCCUGACUUUCGCCGGCAUCUCUCCCGCUCUCGCUCGCUGCCCUCUCGUGCGCGCGACCGCUUGCGGGCGUGUUCGCGGUUUCUCCCUCGCCUGCUUUCGUCUUCUCCUGCGUGUGUCCUUUGUGGAGCUUUCCGCCUCCCCCUUCGCUUCUGCCUUUUCGAUCUGCACAGCGAUCUGCGCGUUGUGGUGGGCAGCGCACCCUUGACGGCGACACGCCCAUCGAGGGCCCCCUCCCUCCCCCUCUGAGCCGUCGCCCUCGUUGCCUUCUCCAAAUCGCCUCCCCCUCACGCACACCGCAUGGACUCCUCAAACGGAGAGGUGGAGGGAGGGGGUGUGCGAGGUGCCACAGGUGUGGUGGUGGCAGGGGCAGGAGCCAAGGAGGCUCACGUGUAGGCGCAGCGGGAAGACAGGAGGGCGGCGUCCGUGCGCCCAGCGGCGACACACAGGUGCAUACGCAACGCUAAAGCGAGGCGAUUGCAGCUCUGGCUCCUGAUCUUUCCUUGCGCCCCAUGCACGGCCUACGUGUGUGCGCGCACACCCGCGCGCGCGCAGGUGCGUAGGAGGGGGCACCCCCUUCUUCAGCGAAUGCCCCUUCGGCGUCGCCCCUCCCUUGCUGCGGCGACUCCCCGCGCCCCUCGCGCCCACACGGAGAAGGCGGCACCACGACAGGGAAGCCGUCGGGCGCACUCUCGGUCCUCCGCGGGCCAACGACGCGGUCGGGGUGCGUGCGUGCGCGUGCCUCAAUAUAUGCGAAGUCUUUGUUAUCUCUUUGCCUUCCGUGUGUCGUUUCUUUUUUUUCGCUUCGCUUGUUUGUUUGGUGUCGUGAUCACACCGCCGAGUCCUCCAGACGCGGGUGUAGAGAGUGUCCACACCGUAUUACGGCAUGCCGCGGCUUGAAGCGAGUGAGCGAGAGGCGUGGCAUAUGCAGGCAGAGCACAGGGUCUCAAAGGGCCCUGGCCUGCGGCUGGCCAACGCGACCUCCUUGACGUCGUCCGGCAUGCACCUUGGCCACCGCCUGUUGCCCACACGACUGACGUCGCCGCUUCCGCCCUCGAGCAGGAGCCUGGACGCGGCCCGCCUGGACCGAGGCAUGCCGUCCGCCCGGGUCUCCGUCUGGCGCCGCAAGCGCCGCACGUACCCGAGGAAGGGACGAGCAAGGGCAAGAUGAGCCGGUCAGACGCAGGGCCCCCGGUUGAACGGCAGGCAGUGCGCCCUUGGCGGCCAGGAUGUUGCCGUGGUGCAACAGAGGCGUGCGAGCUGUGGUUGAAUGCGUAUAUUUGUCGACGUGUUCGUGGUGGAGCGAGGCGUAGAGGGGUGCCUCGCUGCCACGGGCGGACACGCAAAACGUCAAUAGCACAUAACAGCAAAACAGAAAAGGGGGAAUGCACGCGCGCGCGCACGCACGCGGACGACAAUGCAGACGUCCUCGAUUUUGCUUGCUCCUCCGACGGCUCCGCAUGCCGGCUCCGCCUGGGACGCCACGGCGUGUGUGCGUGUGUGCGUGCGCCCUUCCCCUUUUCCUUUCUUCCCUCGCCUUGUCUUUUGUUCUGUACGGUGCCUUCCUCGAGCGUUUCUGAUCAUUUCGUUCUCGCCUCCGUGUCUUCCGCUCGCCGAGGUCUGUGCUGCGGCCAGCGGCGCGGCUGUGCUAUGCGCGUGCGCCUGCAUGCCGGCAUAUGUGUCGUUAUGUGCGCAUACGCGUGCGUGUGC